UAAUACGGAGGAUGCGAGCGUUAUCCGGAUUCAUUGGGUUUAAAGGGUGCGUAGGCGGCCUUUUAAGUCAGUGGUGAAAUCCUGCCGCUUAACGGUAGAAUUGCCAUUGAUACUGAAAGGCUUGAGUACAGUUGAGGUAAGCGGAAUGUGUAGUGUAGCGGUGAAAUGCUUAGAUAUUACACAGAACACCAAUUGCGAAGGCAGCUUACUAAACUGGCAACUGACGCUGAUGCACGAAAGCGUGGGGAGCGAACAGGAUUAGAUACCCUGGUAGUCCACGCCGUAAACGAUGCUCACUCGCUGUUUGCGAUACACAGCAAGCGGCCAAGCGAAAGCAUUAAGUGAGCCACCUGGGGAGUACGAUCGCAAGGUUG
rnacentral:rRNA from 1 species